AAAAAAAAAUAAUAAUAAUAAUAAUAGCAAUAACAAUAUUAAUGAUAAUCGAAUAGCCUCGGAUCGACCUCCCUCCUGCCUCAUAGUUUAGAGCAGGUUAAUAUGUAUCCGC
rnacentral:rRNA from 1 species